AACGAACGUUGGCGGCGUGCCUAACACAUGCAAGUCGAGCGCGGGCAGGACUUCGGUCCUGUUCCGAGCGGCGCACGGGUGAGUAACACGUGAGUAACCUGCCUCGAAGUUUGGGAUAACCGCCCGAAAGGGUGGCUAAUACCGGAUAAGCCCCCACUGGCACAGGCCAGAGAGGGAAAAGACCUUGGCGCUUCGAGAUGGGCGUCGCGUCCCAUUAGUCUAGUUGGUGAGGUAACGGCUCACCAAGGCGAAGAUGGGUAGCUGGUCGUGAGAGGAUGAUCAGCCACACUGGAACUGAGACACGGUCCAGACUCCUACGGGAGGCAGCAGUGGGGAAUAUUGCGCAAUGGGCGAAAGCCUGACGCAGCAACGCCGCGUGGGUGAAGAAGGUCUUCGGAUCGUAAAGCCCUGUCAGGAGGGACGAAACAAAUGACGGUACCUCCAAAGGAAGCACUGGCUAACUCCGUGCCAGCAGCCGCGGUAAAGUCAC
rnacentral:rRNA from 1 species